UGGGGGGUGUAGCGCAGUGGUAGCGCGUCCGCUUUGCAUGCGGACUUUCGUUUUUGCUUUGUAGGUUAAACUACCACAGCCCCCCAA